GAAACAAGAUUACAUUUAGGAUAUUUUCUUGCAGAGUUUUAGUCUUAAAGAGUUAUUACCAGGACAGUUUCCACUUGUUCAAAGCAUGGGGUAGCAUAAUUUAGGACCACUCCACCCAGAAAGUUAUGUUCAGUGAGCAGCAGUCCAUCAGAAGGAUUGUAUCUGAAGUAAUUUUUGGGAAAGGACUAGAAAGAAGUCAGUAAAUCACCAGACUGUCAGUCCCAGCACUGGGACCACACCCAAGUCUUAAACUGCCUCUGGUCCCAGGCCACUGACAAGAUCUGGCAGCAGGGACAGCACCCUCUUUAGUCCUCAGCUCCCUGUGCCCCUGGCUGAGACCUGCUUUCUGGAGCUACCAACAAAGCAGUGCUUACUACAGUUUUCCCAGCCUGCAUACUGUGCAACUACUCAGAACAUAUCCCAACUUAACAUAGCAUAGUGCUUAGCAUGUGUUUUAUUCAGAUCAUAGUAAGUGCCCCAUUCAACAUAGCUCCUGUUUCAUUGACCAAGGUCUAUAAUGCAAUCCAAGAGUUACUUGCAGCAUUUCUAGUACUCAAGAAAGUGGAGGCAAGACUACAAAGUUUCUUUAAGUACAUGUACUCCACUACUUGGGUAUGUUAUUGAACAGUCCACCUUCAGAGAAAAAGUAAUUAUGCACU